CCGCUAGAGGUGAAAUUCUUGGAUUGGCCGAAGACAAACUACUGCGAAAGCAUUUGACCCAGGACGUUUUCAUUGAUCAGGGACUAAAGUUGAGGGAUCGAAGACGAUGAGAUACCGUCGUAGUCUUAACCACAAACUAUGCCGACUAGCGAUUGGGCCUUGACCUUUGGUCAGGUUCAGCAGCUUAGCGAAAGUAAAGUCUUUGGGUUCUGGAGGGAGUAUGGGACGCAAGGCUGAAACUUAAAUGAAUUGACGGAAGGGCACCACCAGGAGUGGAGCCUGCGGCUUAAUUUGACUCAACACGGGGAAACUCACCAGGUCCAGACAUAAUAAGGAUUGACAGAUUGAAAGCUC
rnacentral:ncRNA from 1 species